rnacentral:rRNA from 1 species
ACAAUGGGCGAAAGCCUGAUGCAGCAACGCCGCGUGAGCGAUGAAGGCCUUCGGGUUGUAAAGCUCUGUCCUCAAGGAAGAUAAUGACGGUACUUGAGGAGGAAGCCCCGGCUAACUACGUGCCAGCAGCCGCGGUAAUACGUAGGGGGCUAGCGUUAUCCGGAAUUACUGGGCGUAAAGGGUGCGUAGGUGGUUUCUUAAGUCAGAGGUGAAAGGCUACGGCUCAACCGUAGUAAGCCUUUGAAACUGGGAGACUUGAGUGCAGAAGAGGAGAGUGGAACUCCAUGUGUAGCGGUGAAAUGCGUAGAUAUAUGGAAGAACACCAGUGGCGAAGGCGGCUCUCUGGACUGUAACUGACACUGAGGCACGAAAGCGUGGGGAGCA